AAAAAUGAUAAGCAGACACAUACAUACAGAUCAAAAUGGUUUUCUUCCAACAAGACAACUUAAAAAUAAUACACAGACAGUACUAGAUAUCCUGGAAUACUCCAAGGCACAUCCAGAAAAACAGGCUACACUAGUUUUUCUGGAUGCUC